UGUGAAUGUCGCUUGUUGGAUUUUUUCAACACAACAUUUUGAAAUUCCGUAGGAGUAAGAAUUGUUGUGAGCAUGGAAAACAAUUUUUACCACUUGAUUUCUUCACUCCCACUGCGCAGUUCUCAUCACCGGAGAUAAUGGUGCUCGUGCAAUUAACGAGUUCAUUGCUCGCACUAUUCCUGCAAUUACUCAACAUCUCACUGGAUAUAUUCCUCACUUUUUUCCCGAUGACGUCAUUAAUCUCAAGGAGUAAUUUCGAAUUUUAGGUGAUUCACACGAGGAAAAUACGGAAAACCGAUGGGUAAAAAAUACUCAACGUCCGGAUAAUAUGGAAUUAAAAUUAUUUAUGCAAAAGAAUAAUGUGCAUAGACAACAGAAUGUCAAUCGCCGAUGACGUCACACCUCCACGCAUUCCUGAAAUCAGUGAGUUAAUAAAUAAAUAAAUGAACAACUGCUAACUCAUGAUUUAAUUACCU